AAAAUUUAAACAACGGAUGUUUUGGUUUUGGCGAAGAUGAAGAACGCAGGGAAAUGCGAUAAGUAAUGUGAAUUGCAGAAUUCAGUGAAUCAUUGAAUCUUUGAACGCACAUUGCGCCCUCUGGUAUUCCGGAGGGCAUGCCUGUUCGAGCGUCAUUU
rnacentral:rRNA from 1 species